rnacentral:tRNA from 1 species
GCCUGGGUGGCUCAGUUGGUUAAGCAUCUGACUUCGGCUCAGGUCAUGAUCUCACGGUUUGUGAGUUCGAGCCCCACAUCCGGCU